rnacentral:rRNA from 1 species
AUUAAAUGGCCGCAGUAUUUUGACUGUGCAAAGGUAGCGUAAUCAUUAGUUUUUUAAUUGAAAGCUCGUAUGAAUGGUUGGACGAGGUAAAUACUGUCUUUAUUUAAUUUAUAUUAGAAUUUAACUUUUGAGUUAAAAGGCUCAAAUUUGAUUAAUAGACGAGAAGACCCUAUAGAUCUUUAUUUAUAGUUUUUUAAGUUAGAUUUGGAUUUGUUUUUAGCUUGUAAUUUUGUAAAUUUUAUUGGGGUAAUAUAAAGAUUGAAUUAAUUCUUUGAAUAUUAAAACAAUGAUGUUUGAUAAAUUGAUCCAUUAAUAUUGAUUAUAAGAUUAAGUUACCUUAGGGAUAACAGCGUAAUUUUUUUAAAGAGUUCAUAUCGAUAAAGAAGUUUGCGACCUCGAUGUUGGAUUAAAAAUUGUUUCGGGUGCAGAAGUUCGAAAGUUUGGUCUGUUCGACCAUUGAAUUUUUACAUGAUCUGAGUUCAGACCGGCGUGAGCCAGGUCGGUUUCUAUCUUUAGUUAGAUAAAAUAUUUUAGUACGAAAGGACCAAAUAUUUGAUAUACAGAUAUCUAUGUUUUGAAUGCUAUUAUUACUUUGGCAGAGAAGUGCAAUGAAUUUAGAAUUCAUGAAUGUGAUUAUAUCACAGGUAAUACUUGUAUCUUGCUGACAUUAUUUUUAUGCUGGUAUGUAUGUUGCUUUUAGUGAUUUGUGUUCUGGUGGGGGUGGCUUUUUUGACGUUAUUGGAACGCAAGGUU